AGGUUCAGCGCCACGCCUUGGCCCUCGCCUCGUCCCCCGCUCGUCGCCUCCUCCCCAGUCCCCAGCAAUGGAGGGGCUGGCGCCCGCCGUCGCUCUGUUCCGCCCGCGCUCAUCCACGCGCUUCCCCGUGCUCCUCGCUGCGGAUUCCGGUGCCGCCCGCAGCAGCCCCGUUGCAGACGGGAGGAGCCGGGUUUCGAGGCGCAGCCUUGAGGCGUCUCCGCCUGGAGCAGGGAGGAGCGCGGUGCGGAAGCACGGCAGUACCGAGUCUGCGCCUCGCCGAUCAGGAAUCACUAGAGUUCCAAAGCUUGGCCCUGCAGUUUCAACUAAAAGAGCAGGGAGGCGUAAGGAUCCACUUAUUAAUUUGGAGGUCUCUCAUCAUAGAGCGGUUGCAGCAGUGAGGUUGCUAAGAAUUGAGAAGGGGAAGGCAUUUGUUGACCUUUUGAAUGAGAAAGCAAAUGAUUCUGGAGAUAAUGAGAUGGGGUAUGUGGAGAGGACACUAGGUUUCAGCACACGGUAUUUGGAGGACAGGGAUAUAAGACUGGUUACUGUCAUAGUUGCUGGAACUGUGCGUUGGAAGCGCUACCUUGAUUAUCUUAUCAUGUCGCUAUGUAGUGAGGAGAAGAUGUUCAGGGAGAUGGAGCCACUGCUUCUGCAGAUAUUGCGAAUUGGAUUUUUUGAAAUUCUCAAGCUUGAUGUACCAGCUUAUGCUGCUGUCGAUGAGAAUGUGAGACUCGCUAAAAUAGCUUUAAGGCCCGGUGCUGGGAACAUGGUGAAUGCGAUUCUGCGCAAACUUCUAUUGCUAAAGGAAACAAACUCUCUUCCUCUUCCAAAGAUAGAAGGUGAUGAUCGUGCCCAGGCUCGUGCUCUUUCCAUAAUUUAUUCUCAUCCUGUUUGGAUGGUGAGAAGAUGGAUACGAUUCCAUGGAAAAGACGAAGCUAUAAGAUUGAUGAAUUGGAAUAACAGUGAUCCCCGUUUCAGUCUAAGGGUGAACACAUCGAAAGGCUAUACGAGAGCUGACCUUGUAAAACGAUUGGAAAGUUUACAGGUUCAUUAUGAAGAGUCAGUUAUGGAUGAAUUUGUCCGCAUUCGGGAAGGGAUGCAGGCAGUCUUACAAGCUGGAUUACUAAAAGAUGGCAUGUGUGCUGUGCAAGAUGAGAGUGCAGGUCUUGUAGUUUCUGUGGUUGACCCACAACCUGGGGAUACCAUUAUCGAUUGCUGUGCUGCCCCUGGCGGAAAGACUCUGUUCAUGGCAUCACGAUUGUCAAGACAAGGGAAGAUAAGAGCUCUAGAUGUAAACAAAGGUCGCUUGAGAAUACUCAUGGAUGCAGCAAAGCAACAUAGUCUUGAUGAUAUGAUCACUGACAUCCAUGCUGAUCUUCGACUAUAUGCUAAGGAAACCACAGCUAAAUAUGAAAAAGUAUUGUUGGAUGCUCCGUGCUCUGGGCUGGGAGUCCUUUCCAAGAGAGCAGACUUGCGUUGGAAAAGACAGUUUGAAGAUUUGGAAGAAUUGAUGUGUUUACAAGAUGAGCUUCUUGAUUCGGCAUCAACGUUGGUAAAGCCUGGUGGUAUACUAAUCUACAGUACAUGCUCGAUUGACCCCGAAGAAAACGAAAAGAGGAUUACUACUUUUAUCCAGAGGCAUCCGGAAUUUGCUAUACAAAGUGUAUGCGGAUAUGUUCCUACAGAAUUUGUUACAGAUGAAGGUUUCUAUUCCUCAAAUCCAAUUAAGCACUCUAUGGAUGGAGCAUUUGCUGCUCGUCUUGUCCGGUCAAUGCACUAAGAUUCUGGGAGUGCCACAAGGCCACAACAGUCUGCAUUAAGAAGCAUGGUGCUUUGACUUAAGAAGCAUGGUCAAAAUUCAUGCAAUAUUGCUUCUUGUACAGCAACCAGAUUAGUGUCAUCAUGAACAAGAAUGCUGAAGCUUCCCUGACAAACUCAAUUUUGAUGAUGUGUACAAUACUAAUGUAUGUUGCAACUUGCAAGCUAAGAUAUAACAGGUUUAUUACCAGCAUGGAAGUUAUAUAUCAUUCCUUUUGGCAACGAGUAAACAAUUUUUUUGUACUGUAUUCGGGUUGUGUAAUUGCUACCAGUGAAUGCUAUCAAGAUAAUUGGCUUGGCCUUACAGCCAAUUUUUGAGUGAAAGAAGAAUUUAUGCAACAAGCCAACAAGUAAUCAAAUGCAGCAUGUAGGCAGGCACUACAGAGGGAUGUGAUUGAUUAGUGAGUGAAAGUAAUUUGGCUUGGAAUAAUAGAUUGAUUGAUGAGAUGCAAGAUACAUAUACAUAUAUAGGCAAGUGGCUCUAGGGCUUAUAGAAACAGAACCAACUGAAAGAUCCUUGCCUAAUAUAUCAUCAUGGCACAUUUUUUAUGUUCUCUCCUUUUUAAAAAGAUUGUUCAAUAAUUAGCAAGCAGGGCUAAUCUUUUUGUUCGAGGAUUGGAGAAUUUAUGGGGAGCAUGCUAUCAAUGUUUAGUGAUGUUUCAUCCUAUUGGAGGCACCUGAGUGCUGAUCCAUACAUAUCACAUACAAUCGUUCACACACAUCAGAGUGGCCAUUGGCAAACAGUUAUGGCAGCUGCUAGGCAAUUUCUUUGUCGGAACUUCCGAGAUGAAGCUGGGACUUCUUCCGUUUGGCAUUUUCUACUGUCUACAAGACCGGCUAGUGUUUCUUUAUUAUCCAUCUUAUGUUUGUCAUAAUAUAUUUUAUAUAUUGCUCAACACAUGAAUGAAAUAAACUUAUCUA